CGUGGGUAACCUGCCCAAGAGACUGGGAUAACACCUGGAAACAGAUGCUAAUACCGGAUAACAACACUAGACGCAUGUCUAGNGUUUAAAAGAUGGUUCUGCUAUCACUCUUGGAUGGACCUGCGGUGCAUUAGCUAGUUGGUAAGGUAACGGCUUACCAAGGCAAUGAUGCAUAGCCGAGUUGAGAGACUGAUCGGCCACAUUGGGACUGAGACACGGUCCAAACUCCUACGGGAGGCAGCAGGC
rnacentral:rRNA from 1 species